rfam:Nematostella vectensis strain CH2 x CH6 NEMVEscaffold_326_Cont23927, whole genome shotgun sequence.
AGCAGAGUGGCGCAGUGGAAGCGUGCUGGGCCCAUAACCCAGAGGUCCGAUGAUCGAAAUCUUGCUCUGCUA